UGGGGUGUCUAGAACAUCUUCCUUUUUAUCGGCCCUGAGAACAAUUCUCAGGUUACGGAUCCAAUCCGAGUAGUUUGUUCCAUUCAACUUGUCCUUCUCAAGGACCGAACGCAAAGCAAACGAUGUGGUGGUGUUGCUAGGUGCCAUUUAAUCUACAACAAAAGUAAUGCAAAAUACACUAAGACAAACAUAUCCAUGAUAGAGCAAAUUACAUUAAACUAUUUUAACAGAAUCUACUCC
rnacentral:lncRNA from 1 species